ACCUCUUUCAGUAGGGAAGAAGCCCUUCGGGGUGACGGUACCUGCAGAAGAAGCGCCGGCUAACUACGUGCCAGCAGCCGCGGUAAUACGUAGGGCGCAAGCGUUGUCCGGAAUUAUUGGGCGUAAAGAGCUCGUAGGCGGUUUGUCGCGUCUGCUGUGAAAACGCAAGGCUUAACCUUGCGCCUGCAGUGGGUACGGGCAGACUAGAGUACGGUAGGGGAGACUGGAAUUCCUGGUGUAGCGGUGGAAUGCGCAGAUAUCAGGAGGAACACCGGUGGCGAAGGCGGGUCUCUGGGCCGUUACUGACGCUGAGGAGCGAAAGCAUGGGGAGCGAACAGGAUUAGAUACCCUGGUAGUCCAUGCCGUAAACGUUGGGCACUAGGUGUGGGAUCCAUUCCACGGGUUCCGUGCCGCAGCUAACGCAUUAAGUGCCCCGCCUGGGGAGUACGGCCGCAAGGCUAAAACUCAAAGGAAUUGACGGGGGCCCGCACAAGCGGCGGAGCAUGCGGAUUAAUUCGAUGCAACGCGAAGAACCUUACCAAGGCUUGACAUACACCGGAAAAGUGCAGAGAUGUGCUCCCCGUAAGGUCGGUGUACAGGUGGUGCAUGGUUGUCGUCAG
rnacentral:rRNA from 1 species